AUUGAACGCUGGCGGCAGGCUUAACACAUGCAAGUCGAACGAGUGGCGGACGGGUGAGUAAUGCUUGGGAAUCUAGCUUAUGGAGGGGGAUAACUACGGGAAACUGUAGCUAAUACCGCGUACAAUAGGAUGAGCCCAAGUGGGAUUAGGUAGUUGGUGAGGUAACGGCUCACCAAGCCGAAGAUCUCUAGCUGGUCUGAGAGGAUGACCCGGCACCCUGGGACGUAGACACGGCCCAGAGUCCUACGGGAGGCAGCAGUGGGGAAUAUUGCGCAAUGGGGGCAAGCUGAAGGAGCCAUGCCGCGUGAAUGAAGAAGGCCUUCGGGUUGUAAAGUUUUUUCGGUAGCGAGGCGUUGAACACAGAAGAAGCACCGGCUAACUCCGUGCCAGCAGCCGCGGUAAUAC
rnacentral:rRNA from 1 species